GCGCUCACUUCAGCAGCACAUUAACAAUGGAACAAGACAGAGAAGACUAGCAGGGCCCCUGCGCAAGGUGACAUACAAAUCUGUGAAGUAUUCCAUAUAAAA